rnacentral:rRNA from 1 species
UGUGGGACGAAGGCCUUCGGGUCGUAAACCACUGUCAGUGGGAAAGAUGGGUGUCGGCGUGAUAACCGCCGGCAUUUGACGGUACCUGCAGAGGAAGCCCCGGCUAACUCUGUGCCAGCAGCCGCGGUAAGACAGAGGGGGCAAGCGUUGCUCGGAAUUACUGGGCGUAAAGGGCGCGUAGGCGGGAUGGCAAGUCGGUCGUGAAAUCCCUCGGCUCAACUGAGGAUCGUCGAUCGAUACUGCCGUUCUUGAGGAUUGCAGAGGAGACUGGAAUUCCCGGUGUAGCGGUGAAAUGUGUAGAGAUCGGGAGGAACACCGGUGGCGAAGGCGGGUCUCUGGGCAAUUCCUGACGCUGAGGCGCGAAAGCGUGGGGAGCAAACGGGAUUAGAUACCCCGGUAGUCCACGCUGUAAACGAUGACGACUAGGUGUGGGGGGGUUCAGCCCCUUCCGUGCCACAGCUAACGCAUUAAGUCGUCCGCCUGGGGAGUACGGCCGCAAGGUUGAAACUCAAAGGAAUUGACG